rnacentral:rRNA from 1 species
CGAGCCAUGGUGCGUGCCUAAUACAUGCAGUCGAACGAGAACCCGGAGCUUGCUCCGGGGGACAGUGGCGAACGGGUGAGUAACACGUGAGAAACCUGCCCUAGAGACCGGGACAACCGUUGGAAACGGCGGCUAAUACCGGAUGCCUUCACAUGGUCGCAUGGCCGAGUGAAGAAAUGCUCAGGUGCUCUAGGAGAGUCUCGCGGCCUAUCAGCUAGUUGGUGAGGUAACGGCUCACCAAGGCAUCGACGGGUAGCUGGUCUGAGAGGACGAUCAGCCACACUGGGACUGAGACACGGCCCAGACUCCUACGGGAGGCAGCAGUAGGGAAUCUUGCGCAAUGGGGGAAACCCUGACGCAGCAACGCCGCGUGUGGGAUGACGGCUUUCGGGUUGUAAACCACUUUCAGUGAUGACGAAAAUGACGGUAAUCACAGAAGAAGGUCCGGCCAACUACGUGCCAGCAGCCGCGGUAACACGUAGGGACCGAGCGUUGUCCGGAUUUAUUGGGCGUAAAGAGCUCGUAGGCGGUUCUGUAAGUCGGAUGUGAAAACUCAGGGCUCAACCCUGAGACGCCAUCCGAUACUGCAGUGACUAGAGUCCGGUAGAGGAAGAUGGAAUUCCUGGUGUAGCGGUGGAAUGCGCAGAUAUCAGGAGGAACACCAAUGGCGAAGGCAGUCUUCUGGGCCGGUACUGACGCUGAGGAGCGAAAGCAUGGGGAGCAAACAGGAUUAGAUACCCUGGUAGUCCAUGCCGUAAACGUUGGGUACUAGGUGUGGGGUCUUCUAACGGGUUCCGUGCCGUAGCUAACGCAUUAAGUGCCCCGCCUGGGGAGUACGGCCGCAAGGCUAAAACUCAAAUGAAUUUGACGG